rnacentral:tRNA from 1 species
GGCCUCGUGGCCCAAUGGCAAGGCGUCUGACUACGAGAAAGAGUUAAUUCCCACGAUUGACUCUUCAUGAUAAUCAGGAGAUUCUGGGUUCGACCCCCAGCGAGGUCA